rnacentral:lncRNA from 7 species
GGUAGAGCGUUGUGCUGAUUUCCUGGUCCCUGUUCUCUUAGGACUCUCCAUACAUCUGCUCAGAAAAUGUGUGGAUGCGGCACAGAGGGACAUGGAUUUGUUGCAGACUGGGAGACAUGCAUUCUGUUUGCAAGCUGACAAAGUCUGUUCUACAUUCUGCUCCCAGCUACGUGCCCAUAGGUUGUCUCUGUGCUAGGAAAAGAAAGCCACAAAAAUCCGACUCAACAGCAGCAUGUAGGCUCCGUGCUCAAAGAGUUGAUAAAAACUUUUGGAUGUUAGGCUUAACACCUUCUUCACCCCAGCGGUUUCAUGCCAGCGAUAUUUCAAAGUGAUUCAAGAGCUCUUUUUUCCAGUGAACAGUGCUUAAAAGAUAGCAGGCUGCAAUGAGGAUUGUAACAGUGCUGUAACUAUUCUCAGGAAACUAUCAUUUGGGAAAGUCCUGGGAGAUAUCUUGGAGCUGAUUUGUGUUGUUCCCCAGUAAGGAGCAGAAGACACCUGCCAUUUAGUUAAAUGCCUUAUCUUGGCCUAUUUGGGAACCUCGUUUCAGAUGAAAGUGUCUAUGCUAAUCAAACAAAAUACUAUCAAAAGUGGUCCAGAUGAGAGUGAUAGCUUUAAAAAAAGCACUUUAAAAUGCUUGCGAUUUAUAGUUUUGUGUUAAAUCAGCUUAGCAUUCAUGAAAUAAAAGUGUUGACUACUUGC